AGCAGCCGCGGUAAUUCCAGCUCCAAUAGCGUAUAUUAAAGUUGUUGCAGUUAAAAAGCUCGUAGUUGAAUUUUGGAUUCGGCCAAUUGGUCCAUCUUUUAGAUGAGUACUGGUUGUGUUGGGUCUAUCCGCCUGGUGAUACGUAAUGUCCUUUAUUGGAUGUUGCGGGUAGUCAGGACCUUUACCUUGAAAAAAUUAGAGUGUUUAAAGCAGGCUUAUGCCGGAAUACAUUAGCAUGGAAUAAUAGAAUAGGACGAAGUUGUUUUAUUUUGUUGGUUUCUAGGACAACCGUAAUGAUUAAUAGGGAUAGUUGGGGGCAUUAGUAUUCAAUUGUCAGAGGUGAAAUUCUUGGAUUUAUUGAAGACUAACUACUGCGAAAGCAUUUGCCAAGGAUGUUUUCAUUAAUCAAGAACGAAAGUUAGGGGAUCGAAGACGAUCAGAUACCGUCGUAGUCUUAACCAUAAACUAUGCCGACUAGGGAUCGGGCGAUGUUGUUUCCAUGACUCGCUCGGCACCUUAU
rnacentral:rRNA from 1 species